CCUACGGGAGGCUGCAGUGGGGAAUCUUGCGCAAUGGGCGAAAGCCUGACGCAGCGACGCCGCGUGAGGGAUGACGGCCUUCGGGUUGUAAACCUCUUUCAGCGCCGACGAAGCCCCCCCUUUUCGGGGGGUGACGGUAGGCGCAGAAGAAGCACCGGCUAACUACGUGCCAGCAGCCGCGGUAAUACGUAGGGUGCAAGCGUUGUCCGGAAUCAUUGGGCGUAAAGAGCUCGUAGGCGGCCUGUCGCGUCGGAUGUGAAAACCCGCAGCUCAACUGCGGGCCGGCAUCCGGUACGGGCAGGCUGGAGUGCGGCAGGGGAGACUGGAAUUCCUGGUGUAGCGGUGAAAUGCGCAGAUAUCAGGAGGAACACCGGUGGCGAAGGCGGGUCUCUGGGCCGAUACUGACGCUGAGGAGCGAAAGCGUGGGGAGCGAACAGGAU
rnacentral:rRNA from 1 species